rnacentral:rRNA from 1 species
CGGUACAUCGGUGACAGGUGGUGCAUGGUUGUCGUCAGCUCGUGUCGUGAGAUGUUGGGUUAAGUCCCGCAACGAGCGCAACCCCUAUUGUUAGUUGCCAUCAUUCAGUUCGGGCACUCUAGCGAGACUGCCCGGUAAUAAACCGGAGGAAGGUGGGAUGACGUCAAAUCAUCAUGCCCCUUAUGACCUGGGCUACACACGUGCUACAAUGGUUGGUACAACGAGUUGCGAGUCGGUGACGGCGAGCUAAUCUCUUAAAGCCAAUCUCAGUUCGGAUUGUAGGCUGCAACUCGCCUACAUGAAGUCGGAAUCGCUAGUAAUCGCGGAUCAGCACGCCGCGGUGAAUACGUUCCCGGGCCUU